rnacentral:tRNA from 1 species
GCGCCCUUAGCUCAGCUGGAUAGAGCACGUCCCUUCUAAGGAUGUGGUCGCAGGUUCGAAUCCUGCAGGGCGCGCCA